GGGAUUAUAGUUAAUAAUAACACUUAGAUUGCACCUAAGAAGUAUUGAAUGAUCAAUUUAUCUCA
rnacentral:tRNA from 1 species